rnacentral:rRNA from 1 species
UACGUAGGGCGCAAGCGUUGUCCGGAAUUAUUGGGCGUAAAGAGCUCGUAGGCGGCUUGUCACGUCGGGUGUGAAAGCCCGGGGCUUAACCCCGGGCCUGCAUUCGAUACGGGCUAGCUAGAGUGUGGUAGGGGAGAUCGGAAUUCCUGGUGUAGCGGUGAAAUGCGCAGAUAUCAGGAGGAACACCGGUGGCGAAGGCGGAUCUCUGGGCCAUUACUGACGCUGAGGUACGAAAGCGUGGGGAGCGAACAGG